rnacentral:rRNA from 1 species
UAUGAUGUCCUUAAUUGGGUGUCUUAUGGAUCCAGGACUUUUACCUUGAAAAAAUUAGAGUGUUUAAAGCAAGCUUAUUGCUCGAAUACAUUAGCAUGGAAUAAUAAAAUAGGACGGCUUGGUUCUAUUUUGUUGGUUUCUAGGAUCACCGUAAUGAUUAAUAGGGAUAGUUGGGGGCAUUAGUAUUCAAUUGUCAGAGGUGAAAUUCUUGGAUUUAUUGAAGACUAACUACUGCGAAAGCAUUUGCCAAGGAUGUUUUCAUUAAUCAAGAACGAAAGUUAGGGGAUCGAAGACGAUCAGAUACCGUCGUAGUCUUAACCAUAAACUAUGCCGACUAGGGUUCAGACGAUGUUAAUUUUUUAAUGACUCGUUUGGCACCUUACGGGAAACCAAAGUGUUUGGGUUCCGGGGGGAGUAUGGUCGCAAGGCUGAAACUUAAAGGAAUUGACGGAAGGGCACCACCAGGGGUGGAGCCUGCG